rnacentral:rRNA from 1 species
UGAGCAACCUGCCCUUGACUCUGGAAUAACAGCUGGAAACAGCUGCUAAUACCGGAUACGACCUCCGAUGGCAUCAUCUGGAGGUGGAAAGCUCCGACGGUCAAGGAUGGGCUCGCGGCCUAUCAGCUUGUUGGUGAGGUAACGGCUCACCAAGGCUUCGACGGGUAGCCGGCCUGAGAGGGUGACCGGCCACACUGGGACUGAGACACGGCCCAGACCUCUACGGGAGG